rnacentral:snoRNA from 1 species
GCCUUUUUCCAGAUUUUUGUUGGAAUUGUUACCCCUUUUCCUUCGAAUCAUUAUUGAAAGGCAGAUUAAACUUCAUUAUGAGCAUAUACCAACCAAGCUUCACCAUAGAUGUGUUGAUUGGGUGAUGCUUCAGGAACA